UCUUAUAUUAUUUCAAAAUUUGAUAGGGGGAAACGAGAGAUAGAAAGUGAGGUGUGGAUGUUUCCGGCCGGAGUUCCUGAUGCAGCUUGAGAAGAAAAGAUGGUGAGGGAGGUAUGGCAUAGCAGCGGCUCCACGGCACUAGGGUUCCUCCGUAGGUCACCAGAUCCGGUUCAAAUCUCCAACAGUGGCAAGGACAUUUUGUCAAACAGCUUGUGUGCAGUCUCUAUUGCCGCUAUACAAAAGGUGGCUGAAGAUAUGGGAAGCCGAGCACACUUGCGUUAAACACGACACUUCCUUCACUCACGUAGAGCUCAGGUAUACUCAUAUAACUCAGUGAUCCAUAGCAAGUGUCCACCACAAGAUAGUUAUAUCGGAGAUUACAUUCAGCAAUUUAAACUCCCUACAAUGGAUUAAAUAUGCACGUUACACAGACAAAGACUUAAGAACCCGCUUAUUGUUAGUGAGUUUUUCAAAUGGUUUCUAUACUUGCCAAUGUAUAUGUUUUCCUUUCUAUGUCGAUUGUAUAUGUUAUGUAGAUUCAAC